rnacentral:misc_RNA from 1 species
UAGAUGAGGUCAGACAGC